AGGCUUUCAUAUUCUACUAUUGUUUAAGACAAUUAUUUAAAACCGAGGCUUUCAAUUGGAAUUCGUCUCUCACACUCAAUACAAUUAUUUAAACACAAGUAACAGUUCAGUAGCAAUCAGAGUUCAUGUUCUAAACCAUAAUAAUAAGCAGAACAUUCAUGUCUUAUCUUAGUAAAACAUUCAGAGUUCUGUAGUAAUCAGUAGCAAUCGAAAACUAAAAAAAUUCAAUUUCACAUUACUAAAGAACAUGUAAUCAUCAAAUCAGAAUCAGAAUUGAAGGAAAUUACAUUCAAUUUCA
rnacentral:lncRNA from 1 species